rnacentral:tRNA from 1 species
ACCUGGUUGGCUCAGUCAGUUGAGCAUCUGACUUUGGCUCAGGUCAUGAUCUCACAGUUUGUGGGUUCAAGCCCUGUGUCAGGCU